AUGUUGCAAAAGAGCUGGACACAAUUUAGUGACUAAACAGCAACAACAACGGUGGACAAAGACCAAAUGUAUAUUUCUUAUAAAUCACAAUAUUACAUAUAGUAUGUAUUUAGUGAAAAGUUUUAAUUUUUACUUAGUGAAAACUUAGGAAUUCAAAUGCCAGCUCAGUCACCAAUUAGGUGUGUAACUUUAUACAAAUUUUAUUUUCUGUUUGUUUAAUUUACAUAAGAAAUAUAAAAGAACAUUCUUUUAGUAACUGAGUAAGCAGUAUGAAAGUGUGUAGAGUAAAAUGUGAAAGUCCCCCUCUACCCUUUAUUCCCAACCAAAAAACACAAAAUCUUUUUCAGAGGUACUGUUUUUAGUUAACUUUCCUAAUCUUUCUUUUUAUGAAUUUAUGAAAAUAUUUGAAUAUAAACACAAUAGAGGAGAAGGAAAUGGCAACCCACUCCAGUACUUGCCUAGAGAAUUCCGUGGACAGAGGAGCCUGGUGGGCUGCUGUCCACGGGGUCACACAGAGUCGGACAUGACUGAAGCGCCUUAGCAGCAGCAGCAGCCCUGCUUGGAGAAUGCCCUUGACAUGCACCUCUGUGUAGAAAAAAAAAAAAAAAAAAGAAAAAAAAAACAACAAUAGAAUUUUUAAAAUGUAAAUAGGAUUGUACUACACUUAAAGUGUCUUGAGGAUCUUUGCAUGUUAGUUGACAUGUAUAGCAGCUCCAUAAGAUUUUGUAAUAAGAUUUUGUAAUUAUGGAGCAUGAUAGUUCACUGAUUUCCAGUUGAUAAACACUGACUUUUUUCCUCAGUUGGACUAUUACAAAUAUUGCUGCAGUUAACACUCACACAUCCAGAUUUGCAGGCACAUGUGUGAAUAUUUUGUAUAUUUUGUAAGAUAGGUUACUAGAGGUAAAAUUGCCUUGUGAAAGAGUCUAUGCUUAAAAAAAUUUGCAAAUAUUUUAUCACAUUGCUUUUGAAAUUCCUCAGUGUACCUUUGCAUCUGGGAUGAUACUUGGCAAAGGGCCCAUCAUGGACUCCUACACAUACAGGUGGUUGUGAUACAGGAAAGGAACUCUGAGCCUUGGGGAACUGACUGUAUAUAACACUAGUACUCUUCCCUGGAGACUCCCAGGGACAGAAGAGCCUGGGGGGCUAGAGUCCGUAAGGGUGCAGAGAGUCAGACGUGACUGAAGUGGCUUAGCAUGCCCAUAGACAGCAGAAAUGGGCCUGCUUUUUUCCCUGGGGAAACAGUACUGCUCCCUCAGGGUUGCUUGCUGCACACACAGUCCUGAGAAAUGGCCUGGGUAAAAAGCAUCCAGGGCCUUGCCUUCUUGGUACACCCCACAAGGGCAUGUCGGUGUGCUCGGGAGCCUGGGCAGAUUGUCCCUGCCAGCACCAGUGUUUUUUCUCUAGGUGCAUCCAGUGCUAUAAGCCAGAGACAUGAAUUGUUUUUGUCACCUUCUUCUCCUUUAUUCAUUUCAUCACCAAAUCCUUUAAAUCUUAUCUCUUAAAUAUUUUUCAAAUAAUUCUACUACUUUCUCUAUUAUCACCUCCCUAGGCUGUUAUCUUCUACUUAUAUUACUACUUUGCCUCUUAACGAUUAUUCUUGCAUCCACUCUUGCCCUCUUCCAACCUAUUCUCCCACACUCCAGUCAAGAGGGAGCUUUUGAAAACACAGAUAUAAUCAUGCCACCUGACUGAUGUAAAACCUUUUAGUGGUUUUCUUCUGCUGUUAACAUAGGUGUUGGUCUUUAACAUUGCCAACAAGAAUUUGCAUUGUCUGGUAGUUUCCAUAUGUUCAUUGUUAGUAUAUAGAAAUACAGUUGCAAUUGAACUUGGUAUAUUGACUUUGUAUUCUAUGACCUUGAACAGUCACUUGUUUUAUUAGUGGUUUCUUAAGGGAUUCUUUGGGAUAGUCUAUAUAGCCAAUCAAGUUAGCUUUGAGCAGAUACAUUUUUAUAUCUUCUAAUUCAUGUGAUUUUUAUAUUUCUUUCUUAACCUUGGUAUGCUAUCCAAGACUUUCAGUGUGAUGUUGAACAGGAAUGGUGAGAGUGGACAUCUUUGCCUUGUCUUGAUGACAGAAACAAGAUAAUAGGAACAAAAUAGUAUUCCAGUUUUUCUUCAUUAAGGAUGGCACUAGUGGUGUGUAGUUUUGUAGAUGUCCUUAGCACGGUGAAGAAGUUUCCUUCUAUCCCUAAUGUGGCAUAUAAGUUUCUAGAACAUGGUCUGAAAUCAG